AUGGUUGCCAUGGCGCCGUUUGACGUCACGGGCUCUGUGUCGCCCGUGCGUUGCGACGCGGUGAUUGGCGGAGACCCCGUGUGUGGCACUGGGAGAGCGAGAGCGAGUGAGAGAGCGAGAGCGAGGCUGCAGCGGAGCGAGCCGCGAUAUAGAGGCACAGUCCGCCCCGCCGGUCACCCGCCUAGAGUCUCUCGUACGGUCCAUCCCGCAGAGCGAGCUGGAGGGGCUGUGCGCUCGGCGGAGGCUCCCUCGGGGCGGGGACGGCGCCGCAGCCGCAGGGCGAGGCGAGAACGGGAGCGGCGCGGCGCGGCGGGGCAGGAAAGUCGGCAGGUGGGCGGGCGGUGCCCUCCUCCUUGCCUUCCCGCGGCGAGGCGAGGCGAGGCGCCGCCUGGGCUUCCCCUUUUUUUUUUUCUUCGGUCUGUGUCGGGGCGGAGAUGCUGCAUUCCCCUCCCGGCGCGGGGCGGAGGUGAGGGGGAUUAACGCGCACUGAAGUGGGCUGGGCUCUGACACGGAUCCGCCAUGACAAAGAGCCCAGACAAGGCGCUUCAUGUCUCGAAGCCGGGCGGGCGGUUGCGGUGCUGGGAGGGGCCACGGCGGCGAGUCUGGCCUGCCUUCCUUGUCCUCCUGCUUCCCCACCGCCACCACAUUUUCUUUCGCCCACAUCUUUAUCACAGCCCCAGCUGUCUGCCCUUGCUCCAGGAUCUGGGUGNGUUGGAUCCGCUGCAGUGGCAUCUCACCAGCCGCCUGUGCUAGCGAAUAUAUCAAGCUCACCAUUUUAAAUAGUCAAGAUAAAUCUCGUGCUGCACAGGAAAUCGUUUGGGUUUUUUUCACAUACGAAGCUGUUUUCCACAGUCCAAAGGCAGAGAUCUUCCUCAUAGGCUUGCAGAUACUUACUUUGAUAAAUGUGAUAAGUGAUUGAGCAGUUAAAGUUUGUGGUUUUAUUUCUCUAUAUCAGCCGUGAUGGUUGAGAAAUCAAAAUGGCUCUUAAAAAGGUUUUCUGUUUUUUAAGGGGGUAUGAUCUUUAAACCCCAGGUGCUAGACUGCUAGGAGUUAAACCUGCUAAACUAAGAAGUUCCCUUGAAGUAAGUGGCAAACGUCAUGACUACCACAUGUUUUAUAGAUUUUUUUAAGCUAUAGAAAUUAAAGAGCUUUUUUUCUUUCAAACCUCAUGGCUAUAAUAUUGAAAAAUAUAGUAUACAAGAAAUGGAGGGAGGACAGCACAGUAUUUUUAAGUAGCCUUUGAAAGGAAAAAGAAUGGCUUUUGGAACACAUUGUGGAAUGAAAUUCUUAGGAUUGCAAAGCUUCUGGAACAAUUUAGAGUAUCUUAAAAUAGCAGUGUAGAGAACAGAUAGCUAAGGCAUCUGAGGAAAUAGAGGGCUUGCACACUUUGAAGUGCUUUAGAAUUACAGGGAAGGUAGAAAACUUUAAUAAAAAUGAAGACAAGCUGCUUUGAGUUAUAUCC
rnacentral:lncRNA from 1 species